CCUACGGGAGACAGCAGUGGGGGAUAUUGCACAAUGGGGGAAACCCUGAUGCAGCGACGCCGCGUGAGUGAUGAAGUAUUUCGGUAUGUAAAGCUCUAUCAGCAGGGAAGAAAAUGACAGUACCUGACCAAGAAGCCCCGGCUGACUACGUGCCAGCAGCCGCGGUAAUACGUAGGGGGCAAGCGUUAUCCGGAUUUACUGGGUGUAAAGGGAGCGUAGACGGUUGUGUAAGUCUGGGGUGAAAGCGCGGGGCCCAACCCCGGGACUGCAUUGGAAACUGUGUGACUGGAGUGCAGGAGGGGCAGGCGGAAUUCCUGGUGUAGCGGUGAAAUGCGUAGAUAUCAGGAGGAACACCAGCGGCGAAGGCGGCCUGCUGGAC
rnacentral:rRNA from 1 species